AUUGAACGCUAGCGGGAUGCCUUACACAUGCAAGUCGAACGGAGCGGCGAACGGGUGAGUAAUGUAUCGGAACGUGCCCAGUCGCGGGGGAUAACUACGCGAAAGCGUAGCUAAUACCGCCUACUAUUGGCGCGGCCGAUCUCGGAUUGGCUAGUUGGUGGGGUAACGGCUCACCAAGGCGACGAUCCGUAGCUGGUUUGAGAGGACGACCAGCCACACUGGGACGGAGACACGGCCCAGACUCCUACGGGAGGCAUCAGUGGGGAAUUUUGCACAAUGGGGGCAACCCUGAUGCAGCCAUCCCGCGUGUUCGAUGAAGGCCUUCGGGUUGUAAAGCACUUUUGGUAGGAAAGCGGUACCUGCAGAAUAAGCACCGGCUAACUACGUGCCAGCAGCCGCGGUAAUUC
rnacentral:rRNA from 1 species